rnacentral:lncRNA from 1 species
CCUAAGCAUAGAUUACCCAAGGGGGGUAGAACGUAAGAACUAGGAGUAAGUGCAAAGUGCGGGAGGAACAUCAGCAGGAGGUGGUCAUACCAGGCCAUGGUAUAGACUGGCACACCCCUGACCCCUUGCUUAGAUUCAAACAAAUAAGAGCAGACUCUUAGAGGGUCAAACUUAAGAUUGAAUGGUGAUUAGGACACCAACACACCCAAAUUAAUGCUCAGCACAUAAGGGGGAGAGGGAAUGGGAAUGGGAAAGCAAUUGAAUAAAGACUCAGGGAAGUCUAGUUCUGGAUCACAAACAGCAAUUCCAAAUGCUGCCAUGAUUCAGGACAAUACCCACAUACAAAGGGUAUAGAUGGAAGGGAAUAAAAACAUAACGUAUUGAAAGCAUACAGAGGCAUAGCAUGCUUGAAUAUAAUCACGUAAUGCAGGAAAGCAUAAGUACACAAACAAGGAAAGAAAUCUAGAAGAGGAGGAGCUGAACACAUAACAAAGAGGGUGCUAUUUAACUAGAAGAACAUACCAGUUGCAAGCUUAGAACAGCAGAAUAGCAACAGCAAACAAACAGCCAGGCAGUCAACAGGAACAAACUCAAGGAACUUCAACAAGUACUUGGGAGUUCAGAGAAACUCCACGAGAUUCUGACAGCAUGAGAGAAAGGAGGAGAGUGCUCAGCAGUAGUAGAGAAAAUAGAGAGUAGUACUAGUAGUACAGAGUGGGGAGUAAAGUGUAGUAGUAGUAAUAUAUUAUAAAGGUGCAUAAAGAAUUUGUGAGAAUGUGUUCGAGUGAUUGUGUAAAGCUGCAUGUGAAACUUUUGUCCGUCAGAACUUGUGAGAGCUGUGUGCUUUUAUAGUGCAGAAACGAGUAGACAAGAAAGCAAGUAAAUAAAAUAUCUCUUACUCAAAGGGAUUUGAUUUCAAACGGGAGUGGUAAUUAAGGAAGGCUAAAACCUUUCAGGGUAACACAAUAAAGGGUUGGUUCAUACAUAAUCUACUUAAGGUAGGAAACUAUAGUACACGUUUUUGAAAGAAUAAGGAGAUACAAUAAUCAAAUAGUCAGAAAUUCAAAAAACCUUGAAUGAACUUAGUCAGAAAAAUAGGGAAAAUAUUGAGGUUUAAAAAUCAGUAGCAAAUUAAUCGAGCCUUAGUAAAAGGGGAUUGAGAUUAGUCACAAACUAAUAGAAUCAAUUCACAAGAAAACCCCCUCAUAUAUAAGCAUGCUAACAUCAAGAAAAGAAGAAGAGAUCGGCAUUAACAGUUUUUGAAUCAUAAGCAAAAGAAAAGUAAGUUCCAAUUCAGUCUAUGAACUCAACAUGAGUUUG